UCUCGCCCAUUUGACAGCUGCAUUUUUAAUUCUCUUUUGGAAUAUUCCUUCUGUGUUGCAGUUUCACCGUAGCCUGAGAGCCAGCUGGAUAAACUGCUAGGGACACAGGAUUCCCGAGUGACAGCGCAGGGCAGCAGUGCUGUCGCGGUGUCCUGUUCACAUCACACCGGGAGGGAGCCGCAGUUUCGCUUUUGUUAAGGUUUGGUUCCAAAUAGUGGUGUCUCCAGAGAGCUGAUGAUCUCAGAAUGCUUUUGAAUUUGCACAGCGAAGCCUUCAAGUCCUGCCUUGGCAGUUUCAACAGAAGCAUAAAGGAUUCAAGGAAUCACAGACAUGAUGGCUCACCUCUCCCUUUACGGAACAGCUGAGUGUCCCUGGAGGCUCCAAGUCUUCUCUCCUUCUGAAUUGUGCCAGCAGGAAUCUCUAUCGGGGUUCCUAGGAAUUCUGCAUCUGAGUGAACGCAAACCUUUUGUACAAAUGUCCAGUAGGUGAUUCAUUAGAGGUCAGAGGCAGGGGAAAUAGAAUUCGCUCAUUCUUUCAUGCCUGUUGUUUCCUUCUUCUAAACUCUUGCUUCUUUUUUGUGUAUUUCUUUUUUUGAGACUGAGUUUCCCUCUGUCGCCCAGGCUGGAGUACAAUGGCAUGAUCUCAGCUCACCGCAACCUCUGCCUCCCAGGUUCAAGCAAUUCUGCUGCCUCAGCCUCCCUAGCAGCUGGGAUUACAGACAUGUGCCACCACGCCUGGCUACUUUUGUAUUUUUAGUAGAGACAGAGUUUCUCCAUGUUGGUCAGGCUGGUCUUGAACUCCUGACCUCAGAUGAUUCACCCACCUCAGCCACCCAAAGUGCUGGGAUUACAAGUGUGAGCCACUAAGCCCGGCCCUUUUGUGUGUGUUUUAUUUUGUUCGCCUUAGCUCCUUAAGUCAGGGAGGGUUGGAAGGGAAGGAAGGUGUUUGAAACAUACGAAUGAGAAAUGAACAAAAAUUUGCUGCUUAGAGACAGCACUAAAGGCAGGUGAAAAUAUGUGUGGUGGACGUUGGUGGUUUUUGUCUGACUCCGUGUUCAGUCCCAUCUUUUGGUUAAAACAACUCGAGUUUUCUUUGGGUAACACAGGCUGUUACUCUCAGGCACUGGGAUACAGAGGUUAGCUCCAGUGGGGGCGGCCCAGGUCUGGCUAAACGGCAUCUCAUAUUCCUUGGCCACAGUGACUUGUUAAGGAAGGAUCUAUGACCUGUCGUGACCCAGAGACAGCCAGAUCUGGGCUUCUAUUAGAAUUCUUGAUAAAGGGUGUUUGUUUUUGUGUUUUCGUUUGUUCUUUUUGCUAGGGUUGCUAAACAGAUAGAGGUAAACCCGGUGAUGAAAAAACCCAUCAUUCUUGUCACUCCUUGAGACUGAAAAUGGCACUGAGGAAUAUGGAGCUAAGGGGUGAGACCUCCCUGAGUAGCAUGGGAACACCUGGAUCUAGCCAAGCCUGAAGGCCACACAUGACAUUUUCAGUUAUGUGAACCAGUGUGUUUCCUUUCCUUUCUUUCUUUUCUUUCCUUCUUUCUUUCUCCCUCCACAUUUGACUUGAGUUUCAAAUGUUUGUCACUGAAAACUGUUCUUGGUUUACUGAAAUGCUAACCUCUAUUUUGUAGAGCAUUAAAAUUAUAGGCCAGGCACAGUGGCUCAUGCCUGUAAUCCCAGCAAUUUGGGGGGCCAAGAUGGGCAGAUAACCUGAGGUCGGGAGUUUCAGACCAGCCUAACCGACAUGGAGAAACCCAGUCUCUACUAAAAAUACAAAAUUAGUUGGGUGUGGUGGCACAUGCCUGUAGUCCCAGCUACUAGGGAGGCUGAGGCAGCAGAAUUGCUUGAACCCAGGAGACAGAAGUUGCGGUGGGCCGAGAUUGUGCCAUUGUACUCCAGCCUGGGCAACAAGAGCAAAACUGCAUCUCAAAAAGAAAAAUAAUUAUAAUUUGAUGCUGUUGGAGCCACAGAGCGUUUUCCUCCUUCCCUUUCACUUUUUAUUAUGACUUAUGACUUAUAAAUGUUAAAGAGCAUUCCAGACACAUAUACAUGUUAGUGAACCUGUGAUUUCCCGAGGGAAGAGGCAGAACAUUGCCAUUUGCUCAGAGGUCUCCUACUGUUACCACCCUACUAGAAGUCUCUCACCAUUGGAAGCUACUACUAUUUGGAAUUUUGGGAAAAUCAUCUUGCUUUUCUUUUCUUUUUAAAUUAUUUUCUCUAUGUACGCACACUCAAAAAGAAUUAAUUUUGUGUUAAUGGAAUCAUGUUAUUGUGUUAAUGGAAGCAUGUAUCUUCUGGGGUCUUGCAUCUGUCACCAACAUCGUAUGUGCAACGUUCCUCUCUGCUGUUGCGGUAGCUCAUUCAUUCUCAAUGCCAUCAUAGCAUCCCACAUGUGACAGUAUGCAAUGUAGCCAUUAGAGAGUACCCUGUGUACUGGCUGUUUACUGUAGAUAAUUUAUUGAAGUCAAUCAGUGCAACAGAGCUCAUAUUGGAAAUAAACUGAAAUGUACAUCACUCUGUGCAAAAGCCCAGUCUUGAAUCAGCCCAGCCAUCUGCCUCCCUUGGUCCACAUCCAAGCAGUUGAUGGCUCCUAAGGAAAAAUUGCAUAACUGAGCAAAUCUGUGUUACUACAGCAUUGUGAUCUUCAACCCCAGCUGAGCCCUCCUGAGAGCAAGCGAUUCUAUGUAUCCCUCUUUAACCCUGUCUUCCAUCCUUUGUUAAAUGAUCAGUGCUUCCCCCAACCCCUUCCCUGCACAUUCUCAGCAGAUGGCAUUGCCUCUUUAUGGAGGUCAUUGGGCAGGAAGUCCUUUCAUUUCUUAACUUGGCAGCAAGGAACCUUAUCUACAUCCACACCCUUCUUGCCUGCCCAUUAGUUUCAGGGCCCAGUUUUCCUGCUUCUUUUUCAGGUCACCUGCACUUGUGCCCUGCACCCCUCUGGUACCUCCUAUCCUUGUCUUCUUGCUCUCCCUUCUCUACACGGGACAAUCUGACGCUGUCUGUGCAAGUCCUUUGCCUUAAACCUCAUCUUAAUUGUCCCCUUGUGGAACUGGAUGUUUUCACUUCUCACCUGAAUUAUUGCACCAGUCUUCCUGAUUGGUGUCCCUUUAACGCUUGCCUCUUUUUGUUCAAGCUAUAUUCCUCUACAGAAGCCAGAAUAUCGUUUCUGAAAUGCACAUCUGACAAUGUGAAUCUGUGUUCAUUUCCUGGGGUGGCUGUAGCAAAUCACCACCAACUGGGGGUGGCUUACAACAGCAGAAAUGCUUUCCUCAUAGUUCUGGAGGCCACAGGCCCGAGAUCAAGGUGUCAGCAGGGCUGGUCCCUUCUGGAAGCUUCUGGGAGGGACUCCAUCCCAUGCAGCUCUCUUAGCUUCCAGGGGUGGCGGCGGGUGGGGGGGAGCCGCAAUCCUUGGUGCUCCUUGGCUUGCAGACUCACUGUCACUCCAGUCUCUGUCUCUGUGUUCACAUGGUGCUUUUGUCUCUGCCUCUAAUCUCCCUCUCCUUUCUCUUAUAAGGACACCAGUCAUUUGAUUUGGGGACCACCCUAAAUCCAGUGUGGUCGCACCUCGGAAUUCUUGUAAUUACAUCUGCAAAAACCCCGAUUCUAAAUAAGGUCACAUUCUGAGGUUCUGGGAGUUCAAAGUUAGAUGUAUGUUUUGGGAGCUGCUAUUCAGCUCAUCGUAUACCCUCUUGCUGAAAACCCUUCUGUGGUCUCUCAUUUCCCUGCAGGGUAUAAUCCAAAUCCCUCAGCCUGGAAUACAGGCCCUUCCUCAACUGCCCUUCUGCAACCUCAGCUGCACGGCGUCCUGGCCCCACGUGCCUGCCAUAUACUUCAUUCUUCCAUGUGAACCGAUCUCACUCUCCCAGGGUCUCUCUGGUCUUUUCUUUGUUAUUCAGUCCCAGCCCUGCAGUGUCCUCCUUGCCUCUGGACUCUUCCAUCUUCUUCCAAGUCCGUGGAGUGCCCUGUGUAGACUGUCAAGAGGCCACACAACCAAGUCAGAGACAACCAGCAUGGCAGACUGGAAAGGGGAAUUAUAUUAGGAAGGCUUAAUCUAAAAAAAAAAAAAAAGUCAAAAUACACCUACUCAGAAAUCACCUGCAAGUAGACCAAAAAACACCUCAUUAAAGAAUGGAAUUGCUUAUGAAACAGCCACCAUUUCCCAUUGUACAGAAAUUGCUUAUGAUUGUCAAUAAGGAAGGGGAAACAUGAGCUGUGGCUGUGGAAUUUGGAGAUGUAACUGGAUGUUGCGGAAAUAUUUAAACAGAAUUCUGUUUGUCUGCACCUUAUGGCUAGAUAACUAGACCAUGCUAUGAGUAGGUAAGUCUGCAUUUUAACAGCAUAUUUAAAUUACGGCCGAGUUCCUAGACAGAACUGAAUGGCUGAUGACCAAACAGUGUGCUUAGUGGGGAGAUCAAUUUCCAGAACUCUGGCUCAUGGGGGAAAAGCAGACUUUGGCAUCUGUUGGCUGCUGGGAACACAGGAGGAAGACUCUCUGGAAACCUGAUGUUGGGGGUGGGUUUUUAUGGUUACUUGAUUUUAUUUCAUUUUUAGUUUAUUUUUUUAUUGUGGUAAAAUAUACAUAACACAAAGUUUGCUAUUGUAACCAUUUUUAAGUGCACAAGUCAUUGGCAUUAAGCGCAUUUAUCUUGAUUUUAUUUCCUCUUAUUAAGGAAUUCUAGAUUGGACAUACAGUAAGAUAACUUCAAGUGAUGUCAAAAAUGCAGACUGUUGGCCAGACUCAGUGGCUCACCUUGGGAAAAGAUUUCUUUUCGGCCAAGUGUGGUGGCUCAUGCCUGUAAUCCCAGAACUUUGAGAGGCUCAGGCAGGCGGAUCACUUGAGCCCGGGAUUUUGAGGCCAGCCUGGCCAACUUGGUGAAACCACGUCUCUACUAAAAAUACAAAAAUUAUCCGAGCGUGGUAGUGUGUGCCUGUAAUCCCAGCUACUCGUGAGGCCAAGGCAGGAGAAUCACUUGAACCUGGGAAGCGGAGGCUACAGUGAGCUGUGAUGGUGACACUGCACUCCAGCCUGGUUGACAGACCGAGACUCUGUCUCAAACAAACAAAUAACCAAAUAAACAAAAUACUUCUUUCUGUCGUUGGUUUCAAAAAUAUAGACUGCCAAGUGUCUACUUUUUUGAGACAGCGUCUUGCUCUGUUGCCCAAGCUGGAGUGCAGUGGCACAAUCACGGCUCACUGUAGCCUCAACCUCCUGGGCUCAAGCGAUCCUCCCACCUUCACCUCCCAAAGUGUUGAGAUUACAGGCAUGAGCCACUAUGCCUGGCCGAAAAGAAAUCUUUCUGCCCAAUAUGAAAUUUGAAAAUUUGCUGGACUGUGUUCUCCCGGUACAGGGAGAAGGAAACAACUCUUUUGGAAGCCUGCUGAUACCAUGCAGGCUGCUGUUUUGCAGAGGAUUUUAUGCUUUCUGUACUGGAGUGACCAUUCUGGUUUGCAGAAUGAACGUAUCUCAAGACGAGGUGGGCAGGCCGUCAGCAAAAUAAGAGGAAAAGAUGGUACCACCACAAAUGCAGAGGCCGUGAGGACUGAACGUGUAUCCCCAGAAUUUUGGACACUUGACAAGCCCUCCCAAUGCCUCACUUGUAACUGAGACUAUACUCUGAAAUGAUAAGGGAAACACCGAAAACAAAAUAUUCUGGUUUGGAAGUGGAAUUAUUUCAGCCUUCUCCUGGGUUGUAAUGUUCCUUUAACCUCAUUAAUGUGCACAGUUUUAAAAAAAUUUGUUUCAACUGAAAGAAAACCUUCAUUUUGCAUGGAAACCUCUUUUGAGCAAUCAUUAACUAAUGGAUUGAUGGUGAGAAAUUUGACUCCACAUGGAAAUUAACUUGCAAAAGCAUGACAUAAAGCUUCUCUGUUCUUUCUGUGAGAAAUUUUUUCCCAAAUGGUUUUCAAGACGAGUAAAAGGAAAAGUGCAUAAUUGUGGCUGUCACUAGAUCUUCUCCUUCAUUUUGGGGGUCUGUUCUUACUUAUUCGAAUCAUGUAGAUAACUGCUUAUGCCACAAUUGCCCACCGAUUCACUCAUCUGUAAAGAGUCCCCCGACUAACCCCAACUGCCCUCUCACCUGACAGUCCUCUGUUCCACACAAUCCAAUUUUCACCUGUGCUUUCAACUCUGUUACAGUUGCCUUAGGAAGAAACCACAUAUGGAAGGCUCUGUGUUGGAGAAAUAUUGAGCUGUCUCACCAAUUUUUCAGAUAUGGGAAACGGAACACACAAGCCCUGUUUUUUACCACUUGGAUUCUUAUGUGGGUUCUCAGACAGCUCUCACGUUCUAAAAUUACUCUUCGGACAUCU